GAUGAACGCUGGCGGCGUGCCUAAUACAUGCAAGUCGAGCGAACGGACGAGAAGCUUGCUUCUCUGAUGUUAGCGGCGGACGGGUGAGUAACACGUGGAUAACCUACCUAUAAGACUGGGAUAACUUCGGGAAACCGGAGCUAAUACCGGAUAAUAUUUUGAACCGCAUGGUUCAAAAGUGAAAGACGGUCUUGCUGUCACUUAUAGAUGGAUCCGCGCUGCAUUAGCUAGUUGGUAAGGUAACGGCUUACCAAGGCAACGAUGCAUAGCCGACCUGAGAGGGUGAUCGGCCACGCUGGAACUAAGACACGGUCCAAACUCCUAAGGGAGGCAGCAGUAGGGAAUCUUCCGCAAUGGGCGAAAGCCUGACGGAGCAACGCCGCGUGGGUGAUGAAGGUCUUCGGAUCGUAAAACUCUGUUAUUAGGGAAGAACAUAUGUGUAAGUAACUGUGCACAUCUUGACGGUACAUAAUCAGAAAGCCACGGCUAACUACGUG
rnacentral:rRNA from 1 species